rnacentral:tRNA from 1 species
GGAGAUAUGGUGAAAUGGUAACCACGAUAGAUUUAAAAUUUAUUAGCAACUGCUUUAAGGGUUCAAGUCCCUUUAUCUCUA